GCUUUUUGAAGGUGGCUUUCCCACUCAGCAUAAUUCCCUUGAGAUCCAUUCAAGUUGUUGCCUGUAUCAAUGGCGUUUCCCUGCUGUGGCUGAGUAGUAUCCCAGCUAAAAGCACCUGAACUACUGUAACAAAUUUGCCCUGUAGUGUGAUGGAUUAAGUGGAAAGCUUGAAUCUAUGCUAUUCCCUGUGUGACCAUGAUUUUAUGGACAUACACUUUGAAUAUGUGGGUCUGUGGAAGAUCGUCUUUCCAAAAAUGACCACAGCAAUGUUUCCAGUCUCACAUGGACUUUCUGAUAUUGCCAGUCCCCAUGAGGUAAAUCGAUUUCUGCUGACUUUGAACCUGGGGAAGGCGUUGUGAUUGCCUUGACAGAUGGAAUGUGGCAGAACUGGUGCUGUAUGACUUCCAAGGUCAGGUCAUAAAAGGCAAAAUGGAUUCACCUAGAAACCUCUUUUGGGGGACGCUUACCGUGGGAACCCAGCCACUAGGUUGUGAGGAAGCCCAGGACAUGUGAAGAGGCCACGGGCACGUGUUCUGGCUGAUGGCCAGCUGAGGUCCCAGGGGACGGUCAGCGUGACUUGCCGGAUAAGGGAAAGAAUGAGCCUCCAGGUGAUUCCAGCUUCCGGGGUCAGAGCCGCCUCAGCCGACACCACGUGGAGCCAAGGUACUUACCCCCCUGAGCCCUCCCCAGAUUGAAGAUUUAUGGGCAAAAGAAAUGUUGAUUUUCAGCCACUGGGAUUUUGAGUAAUUUUUAUAUGCACCUAAGAACUAGAACAGAAGCAAUGUAGGGGGUUACGAUCUCAGACUGUGGAAGCAGACUUCUUGGUUUCAAUGUGAUCUCUCACUUACUCCCUGUGUAAU